UUCAUGGGUUGUGGUGGAAAGCUUUUGCGGUGUGGGAUGGGCCCGCGGCCUAUCAGCUUGUUGGUGGGGUAAUGGCCUACCAAGGCGACGACGGGUAGCCGGCCUGAGAGGGUGACCGGCCACACUGGGACUGAGAUACGGCCCAGACUCCUACGGGAGGCAGCAGUGGGGAAUAUUGCACAAUGGGCGCAAGCCUGAUGCAGCGACGCCGCGUGGGGGAUGACGGCCUUCGGGUUGUAAACCUCUUUCAGCACAGACGAAGCGUGAGUGACGGUAUGUGCAGAAGAAGCACCGGCCAACUACGUGCCAGCAGCCGCGGUAAUACGUAGGGUGCGAGCGUUGUCCGGAAUUACUGGGCGUAAAGAGCUCGUAGGUGGUUUGUCGCGUUGUUCGUGAAAACUCACAGCUUAACUGUGGGCGUGCGGGCGAUACGGGCAGACUGGAGUACUGCAGGGGAGACUGGAAUUCCUGGUGUAGCGGUGGAAUGCGCAGAUAUCAGGAGGAACACCGGUGGCGAAGGCGGGUCUCUGGGCAGUAACUGACGCUGAGGAGCGAAAGCGUGGGGAGCGAACAGGAUUAGAUACCCUGGUAGUCCACGCCGUAAACGGUGGGUACUAGGUGUGGGUUUCCUUCCUUGGGAUCCGUGCCGUAGCUAA
rnacentral:rRNA from 1 species